UCCACGCCGUAAACGAUGGAUACUAGCUGUUCGGAUUUAUCUGAGUGGCUAAGCGAAAGUGAUAAGUAUCCCACCUGGGGAGUACGUUCGCAAGAAUGAAACUCAAAGGAAUUGACGGGGGCCCGCACAAGCGGUGGAGCAUGUGGUUUAAUUCGAUGAUACGCGAGGAACCUUACCAGGGCUUAAAUGUAGUCUGACAGGCGUGGAAACAUGCUUUUCUUCGGACAGAUUAC
rnacentral:rRNA from 1 species